AUUGAACGCUGGCGGCAGGCCUAACACAUGCAAGUCGAGCGGAUGAAGGGAGCUUGCUCCUGGACUCAGCGGCGGACGGGUGAGUAAUGCCUAGGAAUCUGCCUGGUAGUGGGGGAUAACGUCCGGAAACGGGCGCUAAUACCGCAUACGUCCUGAGGGAGAAAGUGGGGGAUCUUCGGACCUCACGCUAUCAGAUGAGCCUAGGUCGGAUUAGCUAGUUGGUGGGGUAAAGGCCUACCAAGGCGACGAUCCGUAACUGGUCUGAGAGGAUGAUCAGUCACACUGGAACUGAGACACGGUCCAGACUCCUACGGGAGGCAGCAGUGGGGAAUAUUGGACAAAGGGCGAAAGCCUGAUCCAGCCAUGCCGCGUGUGGGAAGAAGGUCUUCGGAUUGUAAAGCACUUUAAGUUGGGAGGAAGGGCAGUAAGUUAAUACCUUGCUGUUUUGACGUUACCAACAGAAUAAGCACCGGCUAACUUCGUG
rnacentral:rRNA from 1 species